rnacentral:rRNA from 1 species
UCCUACGGGAAGCAGCAGUAGGGAAUCUUCCGCAAUGGACGAAAGUCUGACGGAGCAACGCCGCGUGAGUGAUGAAGGUUUUCGGAUCGUAAAGCUCUGUUGUUAGGGAAGAACAAGUGCCGUUCAAAUAGGGCGGCACCUUGACGGUACCUAACCAGAAAGCCACGGCUAACUACGUGCCAGCAGCCGCGGUAAUACGUAGGUGGCAAGCGUUGUCCGGAAUUAUUGGGCGUAAAGGGCUCGCAGGCGGUUUCUUAAGUCUGAUGUGAAAGCCCCCGGCUCAACCGGGGAGGGUCAUUGGAAACUGGGGAACUUGAGUGCAGAAGAGGAGAGUGGAAUUCCACGUGUAGCGGUGAAAUGCGUAGAGAUGUGGAGGAACACCAGUGGCGAAGGCGACUCUCUGGUCUGUAACUGACGCUGAGGAGCGAAAGCGUGGGGAGCGAACAGGAUUAGAUACCCUGGUAGUCCACGCCGUAAACGAUGAGUGCUAAGUGUUAGGGGGUUUCCGCCCCUUAGUGCUGCAGCUAACGCAUAAGCACUCCGCCUGGAGACCGCCG